GAUCGUUCGUACCGAAGUGUAACGAGGAAGGCUACUAUGAGAAGAAGCAGUGUCAUGCCAGCACAGGUACUGCUGGUGCGUGACAAACAUGGCAACGAGUUCCUGGAGUCCAGGGUACGAGACGACCCCAAUUGUGACGACUUUGACGAGAACAUCCCUGCCGACCGGCAGGUGGCGCCACAGAGCGAGCUGAUCGCCGACGAAGAUGCCGAUGAGGAAAUCGAGGGUUCCGGAUUCAACGAGUAGAUGGCGCUGGCGGCAGUCGCGUGACGUGUACGUGCGGGGGUGACUUUGGUUCUGUAGUAGCCAACAUUACCUCCGGAGAUCUUUUGUACAGUGCUGUGUUUCUUUACCUAUCAUUUGUAACGAAAUCUCGUAGCGAUCCCCCUGGUAGGUGGCGCUGGCAUCGGGCACAUUUUCAAGAGAGCUGAGAGGGCGCCACUGCACGCGGUUUAUUAUGUGUAUAUGAGUUUAUGCGCCCCGUGCAAGAAAUCUCGCGAUGUGUAUACGUAAAGAGAGAGAGACAGAGAGACAGAGAGAGAGAGAGAGCGUGCCACACGAGAAUGUGUGUGAAGCAUGUAAGAAGAGAAAAUGUAAGGAUUUUAGAAACGUAUAAGUACGAGAAACCGUAUUAUAUGUCCUAUGCAGAUAUAUCAAGGUCACUUUUUCUUUUUGAAGGUGGAAUGUGUUUAGAAUUUAGCACGAUGAGUGUAGUCCCCUGUUGUCACGCGAUUCAUUCCAUUUUGAUAUACGGAAACCAGAUGCAUUCCAAGCCGAGCACGUAAUUUUAUCUAACCUACACGUAGGAGUUAUAAAUCAUGAUGUAAUUAUAUAUUUUCGGUUCGUAUAACGUGUAUCAUUGGUGAUGUUAACAUUCAAUCUGUCAUCUUAUGAUACGUGGGAGAGACCACAUAUAUACUUAGACAUAAGUUUACUAUACUAAUCUGGCAAAAACUCUAGUCUGAGGGGACGCUAAAUUGCUUGCGCCUAUUUACCACGGCAAGUUCCGGUAUCCGUGUACAGAGACGCCCCGACUUACGAACAAGUUCGGUUCUGAGCGGUCAUUCGUAAGUCGAUUUGUUCGUAAGUCAAACAUAUGUACGUACGUAUACAGUAUUGUGCAGUAGUGUAGUAUAUGCACGUGUAAACAUCGAGUAACCUAGAGGUGUACAUUGUGUAAACAUAUACGUGAACACAGGAGUUAGCGAAAGUCAAAAUCAAGGGGGCGGUUGUGUCUUUUUAUUCACCAAUAUUGAGAUUAUACACUAAUGGACUUAAGGGGAAAUUGUUCGUAUCAUCGAAAGUUUGUAACUCGAAUAUUCGUAAGUCGGGGAGUCUCUGUAUUGGCGCUUACUUCUAUAUCGAUCCUAAACAUAUAUGUGUGUUUACAUGUUGUAGUAAAUAAUAAUAAUAAUUAAAAAAUAAUUAACUACGAAAUAUCCCGAGUGAGCCAUCACCAGUCCAUGCAAUAAUAAGUUUAGGUAGAGAGAUGUAAAGGAGAUAUAGUUGUAGGUUUACUUUAAAAAAAAGACGUAGUAGUUGAAGAUGUUUUUCAGAUAACGUCUAGAGUUGCAGCCAUGUUUCGUCACGUUUGCAGCGAUAGGUUUGAACGUUGCUUUCUCCGUUUCAUCUAUUAAAGUGAUUACGUCACCGUAAAUAGUAAAAGUAAAAAAAAUAUUUCCACUUUUUCACAAAAUGUAA